UACAGAGGUCCCAAGCGUUGUUCGGAUUCACUGGGCGUAAAGGGCGCGUAGGCGGCUCAGUAAGCGUGCGGUGAAAGCCCGGGGCUCAACCCCGGGUCGGCCGUGCGAACUGCAGAGCUGGAGCACUGUAGAGGCAGGUGGAAUUCCGGGUGUAGCGGUGGAAUGCGUAGAGAUCCGGAAGAACACCGGUGGCGAAGGCGGCCUGCUGGGCAGUGGCUGACGCUGAGGCGCGACAGCGUGGGGAGCAAACAGG
rnacentral:rRNA from 1 species